rnacentral:rRNA from 1 species
AUUGAACGCUGGCGGCAUGCCUAACACAUGCAAGUCGAACGAGUGGCGGACGGGUGGGUAAGUGCUGGGAACCUGCCUAAUCGAGGGGGAUGACGACUGGAACCCGUGGCAAAUGCCGCUUACCGUCCGAUGGGCCCAGAUGGGAGUAGCGAGUUGAUGGGGUAACGGCUCACCAAGGCGACGCUCCCUAGCUGGGCUGAGAGGAUGACCAGCCACACUGGAACUGAGACACGGCCCAGACUCCUACGGGAGGCAGCAGUAGGGAAUAUUGCACAAUGGGCGCAAGCCUGAUGCAGCCAUGCCGCGUGUAUGAAGAAGGCCUUCGGGUUGUAAAGCACUUUCAGCGGGGAGGCGUUACCCGCAGAAGAAGCACCGGCUAACUCCGUGCCAGCAGCCGCGGUAAUUC